rnacentral:tRNA from 1 species
GGCCUCUUAGCUCAGCCUGGUUAGAGCACCACACUUUUAAUGUGGGGGUCGCGGGUUCGAAUCCCGCAGAGGCUA